AGAGUUUGAUCAUGGCUCAGAACGAACGCUGGCGGCGCGUUUUAAGCAUGCAAGUCGAACGGUAGCAGGGUGCUUGCACCCUGUGAGAGUGGCGAACGGGUGAGUAACACGUAGAUAAUCUACCCCUGGAAGAGGGAUAGUCCACGGAAACGUGGCUUAAUACCGCAUAAAGUCCGGCACCAUAAUUCCAGAGCGAAGCUCGGGUUAAGGAAGAGAAAGCCCUCAAGAGUAAAGAGAUAUUCUUGGGAAUUAUGGUGCUGGAUGAAAGGAGCAAUUGUUCCGUCUGGGGAUGAGUCUGCGGUCCAUUAGUUAGUUGGCAGGGUAAAGGCCUACCAAGGCGACGAUGGAUAGCCGGCCUGAGAGGGUGAACGGCCACACUGGGACUGAGACACGGCCCAGACUCCUACGGGAGGCAGCAGCUAAGAAUCUUCCGCAAUGGGCGAAAGCCUGACGGAGCGACGCCGCGUGAACGAAGAAGGCCGAAAGGUUGUAAAGUUCUUUUCUCAGGGAAGAAUAAAAGUAAGGGUGGAAUACUUACUAGAUGACAUUAACUGAGGAAUAAGCCCCGGCCAAUUACGUGCCAGCAGCCGCGGUAAUACGUAUGGGGCGAGCGUUGUUCGGAAUUAUUGGGCGUAAAGGGCGUGUAGGCGGAUUUGUAAGCCUGGUGUGAAAGACCUCAGCUCAACUGAGGGAGCGCGCUGGGAACUGUGAAUCUAGAGUUCAGGAGAGGAAGCUGGAAUUCCUGGUGUAGGGGUGAAAUCUGUAGAUAUCAGGAAGAACACCGAUGGCGAAGGCAAGCUUCUGGCCAUGGACUGACGCUGAGGCGCGAAAGCGUGGGGAGCGAACAGGAUUAGAUACCCUAGUAGUCC
rnacentral:rRNA from 1 species